rnacentral:rRNA from 1 species
UAGGGAAUCUUCGGCAAUGGGGGCAACCCUGACCGAGCAACGCCGCGUGAGUGAAGAAGGUUUUCGGAUCGUAAAGCUCUGUUGUAAGUCAAGAACGAGUGUGAGAGUGGAAAGUUCACACUGUGACGGUAGCUUACCAGAAAGGGACGGCUAACUACGUGCCAGCAGCCGCGGUAAUACGUAGGUCCCGAGCGUUGUCCGGAUUUAUUGGGCGUAAAGCGAGCGCAGGCGGUUUGAUAAGUCUGAAGUUAAAGGCUGUGGCUCAACCAUAGUUCGCUUUGGAAACUGUCAAACUUGAGUGCAGAAGGGGAGAGUGGAAUUCCAUGUGUAGCGGUGAAAUGCGUAGAUAUAUGGAGGAACACCAGUGGCGAAAGCGGCUCUCUGGUCUGUAACUGACGCUGAGGCUCGAAAGCGUGGGGAGCGAACAGGAUUAGAUACCCUGGUAGUCCACGCCGUAAACGAUGAGUGCUAGGUGUUGGAUCCUUUCCGGGAUUCAGUGCCGCAGCUAACGCAUUAAGCACUCCGCCUGGGGAGUACGACCGCAAGGUUG